UUGGCGGUGGCGUCUCCGUGGUUGGACUAGGACAGGCUAUUGGUGAUGUUCCCUCCUACCGAUGAACUGAGAGACCCGCCAGAUAACUUGGAACGCUGAGAACAAACAGGGAUAAAUUAAGGAAAGGUAGACGAAUAUCUGGAUGAAGAAGCGGAUCUUGGAGAGCUUUAAUAGGAGACUGUAAAUGUUGGAACCUGGAGCAAAAAACAAACUGCUGGAGGAACUCAGCAUCUGUCGAAGGAAAUGGACGGCCU